GACAGUGCCUGGGACACAGCCCGGCGCUGGCCGGCACGGCGGGGAGGGGGCGCGCGGGGAGGAGACUGGGCUGGGGAGGGAUCCCUGCGUGCAGUCCUUCAACCCUUCCGUGCCAGAGGAAGGGGGACGGCGCAGGGUCCCCCUCUCGGGAAGCACACACGCUGCCUCCCAGAGGCCGAUCUUCACCAAGAAGGAUUCGCUGGAAACUUUCGGAAAAACCGAGGAGCUCUUCAGCCUCCUCUCUACUUGCUACCUGGAGUCGGGGCGCCGCGAGUGCACUUGGCUGCCCGAGCCCAGCCGCUGGCAUCGCCUCUUCUCGCGGGCCUCCCGGGUUUCCCUCUGCCCCCUUGCGGGGAUCCCCCUGUGCGCCCGACUCGGGAUCUGGAACAGGCCUCCCCAGUGGCUGUUGGUUCCAUAAGGGUGUCCGGGCUCCCCCCUCUGGCCUGGGCUCACACUUCGCUUUCUGUGCGUGCUGGACGAAGCCCAACACUGUGGCUGAUCGAAGUGGGGACAGCGGGCACGGUCCCUGGAGAGGCGGCCUGAAGAGGCUCCUGGCCUUGUGCAGGUAACACCAGCCUGCCCUAUCUCCGACGUUAGAGCCUUAGUCCUCCCAUUUUCCCCAUUCCAGGUCUCCUGCGUCUCCUUGCUGAAGGUGUGGGCUGUCUUAGAGAUGGCUGGGCUCUCAACCCUGCAGAAGGUGCCCAUUUGAAGGGGACCCCUGGCCAUCCCAGACACAGCCCACUCUCCCUCAUUGGGCUUCCCUGGACUCUUCCCAGAUGCUACCCUGGGGCUGCUGGCUGGGCUGAGGAGGAGAUGCCCUUGUGGUAGGGCUGAAAACAAAAGUCCUUGUUGAGAAAGGGAUCACCUGAAACCAGGUGUCUGUCUGGGUGACUAUCUCCAUGGAAUGCAUUCAGAUCAGGAAAUCUGGCUUCAUACCCUAAGGAGGUGGGAAGGAAGCAGAGAACCUCUGUACAGGGCUCCCCACUCUAGGUCCGGGAGGGCCUGCAGAGUUCAAAGGUGUCCCCACCUGUGACUGACCUUCUACACCCCCGCCACCCCGAUCUCCUCCCAGACAAUUCCUGACAGCAUCUGGAGCCAGCAAGGUCACAGCAAAAGGCAAAGGAAGUGGUCAUAGGUGGCCUCCUUUCCACAGAAAGGCCAUUUCACCCAGGAAGACCAGAGACUUUUCCUUUCUGGGUGUAUCAUUUAUUACUGCUGUUCUCAGCCUGGCAUCUUCCAGACACUCAGGGUACCCCCCCCCCCAACAAUGCCUGAGUGGUUUUCCCUUUGCUUUGGCUGCAGAUACUAAAGAGGAUGUAAAAAUAUGAGUUCAUCCAUGCUGGAGCGUGUGGGGAGAAUUCUCUAGUUAUGUUAUCUCCAUCAAGCUUUUGGAGACACAGAAAAGAAAGUUUAGUAGAUUUUGGAGUGAAGGGCACCGUUAAAAAGUAAAGCACAAAGAGCAAUUCCUUGGGCGACCAGGCACCACCUAGGGAAGAAAGGUCCAUGCAGAGACCUUGACUGAGGUGGUGAAUAAAGGUGCAGCUCGGUGCCCUCCUGUGGUAUUUCCAGCUCUCCAGCCUCCUCCUGCCCCCAGCGCCCAGACCUUGUGGAGCAGUUUCCAGGACAAAGCAAGGUUAUGUCUCCAUAACACCAAACAUUCCCAGGUGUGGCAGGCAAGCCAUUGAUUUACAAGAGAGGAGGAGAGAGGAAGAGAAAAUCAGAAAAGCCACUUUCUUGUGGACCAUUGUCAGAUUCACAGUUGCCUUUAAAAAAUAUUUGUUGGCCAGGCACGGUGGCUCACGCCUGUAAUCCCAACACUUUAGGAG